AUUCCUUGAGACCACCCACUGGCAUGAAGGAUGGUGAGCAAAGCCUGGGGAAUGAAGACUAUCUUUCAAAAGGUGCUUCCUGGGAGAUUUAAGGGAGAAAAAGAAAAUAAUUUGUUGGUUUGUAUGUCAGCUAGCAAGGCUUUUGAUCAUUCAGUUGGGACAGUUCUGCCUGGAAGGGAUCAAUCUCUUUUUAUUCCAAAGACUAACACCAACAGAUACAAAUCAAAGGAGGUAUUCUUUCAACAAAGGAAAUUGCAGAAAGGAUGCCUAGGCUUAAUUAAAAUAUAACCUUUUGUUUUAAGGACUUUUCUUUCCCUUGCAAAAGGGAAUGCACUCUCUGAAGAAGCAUAUGCCAGCACUGGUGAGAUACAGUUCUUCAACAAGUAAGGAUCUGUCUACAUUCGGGGCACGUCUUGGGGAAGCCUUGAAGGGAAUCGUGCCUGGAGUCCCAUCUGACUUAACUCAUCAUCACAGUCCUUCAUCACAACAUAAUGAGUGUUAUUACUUCCUCAUGUGGCCUGUGGGCUUUGUUAAUUAAAGAAUGGAAAGUUCAAAGAUGGAAAUCGUCAGAGGCUUCCAAGAUGGCUGAAUAGGAACAGCUCCAGUCCGCAGCUCCCAGCAAGAUUGAUGCAGAAGGCGGAUGAUUUCUGCAUUUCCAACUAAGUGCCAUGACUUAAGGAGUGAAGAGAGGGCAUAGAGAACAAGCAGAGUAUGCAGGGCAUAUGCUGAGAUAAGAAACUGGAUCUGAAACAAGUUGAAUACUUGCAGGUAGGAAGAAAUGGAUCGCACCAAACCAAGGUUGCUCUGGGUCUCCACAUUCCCUCUGGUUCAAACCUCAUUGUUAAGUCGGAUUCCCAUUCAUCCUCCUCUUCCCUGUCCUGUUCCUGUUCUGAACAUAGGCUUGAGGGUGACUUAUGUUCCUCUCCCAGCUAAGCUCUCAGAGGACAGGAGUUGGGCUGGGAACUCACUCUGGACAGCAGAGCUCUCCAAAGAUUUUAUAGGAAGAACUACUUUUUAUUUUCUCAGUCAUUAAAAAAAAACUCCAGUCAUUUGUACAUAUUUUCAAAAAACAUAGAAAAUAAUAUUUUUUAAAAGUCAUUCAUAAUGCUGGGUGUGGUGGCUCAUGCCUGUAAUCCCAGCCUCGGGAG
rnacentral:lncRNA from 10 species